GCAGAUGUGGCGGAAUUGGCAGACGCGCUACUUUGAGGUGGUAGUGGGGUCACUCGUGCAGGUUCAAGUCCUGUCAUCUGCACCA
rnacentral:tRNA from 1 species